rnacentral:rRNA from 1 species
UGGGGAAUAUUGGGCAAUGGGCGCAAGCCUGACCCAGCAACGCCGCGUGAAGGUAGAAGGCUUUCGGGUUGUAAACUUCUUUUGAGGGGGACGAAACAAAUGACGGUACCCCUUGAAUAAGCCACGGCUAACUACGUGCCAGCAGCCGCGGUAAUACGUAGGUGGCAAGCGUUAUCCGGAUUUAUUGGGUGUAAAGGGCGUGUAGGCGGGAGUGCAAGUCAGAUGUGAAAACUAUGGGCUCAACCCAUAGCCUGCAUUUGAAACUGUACUUCUUGAGUGCUGGAGAGGCAAUCGGAAUUCCGUGUGUAGCGGUGAAAUGCGUAGAUAUACGGAGGAACACCAGUGGCGAAGGCGGAUUGCUGGACAGUAACUGACGCUGAGGCGCGAAAGCGUGGGGAGCAAACAGGAUUAGAUACC